AACGAACGCUGGCGGCAUGCCUAACACAUGCAAGUCGAACGAGACCUUCGGGUCUAGUGGCGCACGGGUGCGUAACGCGUGGGAACCUGCCCUUAGGUUCGGAAUAACUCCCCGAAAGGGGUGCUAAUACCGGAUAAUGUCUUCGGACCAAAGAUUUAUCGCCUGUGGAUGUGCCCGCGUUGGAUUAGCUAGUUGGUAGGGUAAAAGCCUACCAAGGCGACGAUCCAUAGCUGGUCUGAGAGGAUGAUCAGACACACUGGGACUGAGACACGGCCCAGACUCCUACGGGAGGCAGCAGUGGGGAAUAUUGGACAAUGGGCGAAAGCCUGAUCCAGCACUGCCGCGUGAGUGAUGAAGGCCUUAGGGUUGUAAAGCUCUUUUAACCGGGAUGAUAAUGACAGUACCGGGAGAAUAAGCUCCGGCUAACUCCGUG
rnacentral:rRNA from 1 species